rnacentral:rRNA from 1 species
AACCUACCUAUAAGACUGGAAUAACUUCGGGAAACCGGAGCUAAUGCCGGAUAACAUAUAGAACCGCAUGGUUCUAUAGUGAAAGAUGGUUUUGCUAUCACUUAUAGAUGGACCCGCGCCGUAUUAGCUAGUUGGUAAGGUAAAGGCUUACCAAGGCGACGAUACGUAGCCGACCUGAGAGGGUGAUCGGCCACACUGGAACUGAGACACGGUCCAGACUCCUACGGGAGGCAGCAGUAGGGAAUCUUCCGCAAUGGGCGAAAGCCUGACGGAGCAACGCCGCGUGAGUGAUGAAGGUUUUCGGAUCGUAAAACUCUGUUAUUAGGGAAGAACAAAUGCGUAAGUAACUGUGCGCAUCUUGACGGUACCUAAUCAGAAAGCCACGGCUAACUACGUGCCAGCAGCCGCGGUAAUACGUAGGUGGCAAGCGUUAUCCGGAAUUAUUGGGCGUAAAGCGCGCGUAGGCGGUUUCUUAAGUCUGAUGUGAAAGCCCACGGCUCAACCGUGGAGGGUCAUUGGAAACUGGGAAACUUGAGUGCAGAAGAGGAAAGUGGAAUUCCAUGUGUAGCGGUGAAAUGCGCAGAGAUAUGGAGGAACACCAGUGGCGAAGGCGACUUUCUGGUCUGUAACUGACGCUGAUGUGCGAAAGCGUG